GCGGUGCUCCUCCGCUUCAAGCUCACCGCUUUGCCUCCUCAAGACUCUAACAACCUUGCGGUUAGGUCAGGGUUGGCCUGGAGACCGACCCCGGAGGCGAAGGAGCGGAGGGUAUGCUGUGCCUUCCCUGGACUCUGUUCCCCAGAGGAGACAGAAAGGUCUGCUGGGCUCCAGGCAAUCCAGUCCCAAGUGUCCUGAAAUGCCCUCUCAUGUCUCAAGGGCAUUUCCUUCCCCUAUCCCAGAACUUCUCCGUCCAACACAACUUUAUUCUUGGACCUGAGCCCCUCACUGCUUUUCCACCAGGAAAGUGCCACAAAGCUGGGAGAGAGAGAAAACUAACCACUGGGUGAUGGAAUCAAGUUCCGAAAAAGUAGCUUCAGUCUGGAACAAAGAGACAGAAACUAAUUGGACAGAGUCUAGUGGAGAAAAAUGUAAAAUCCUUCACGUGGGUUCAAAAAGUCAUCUGUCCUGUCCAGGUGUGAAGAAGGCAGCAAACCAGACUUUUUCUUACCUGCUGCUUAGUAUGAACCAACAGUGGGAUGUGUCAGACAAACACAUUCAGAGUCCUCAACUAUCUUAACUAAAAAAGUCUAGUGCCCAGAACAAGGGACAUAAUAAUCCUAUUGUCUCCUGCUCUCAUCAGAACACACCUGGCAUUACAGAACGAAGGUUCAGAAGCUAAGGAUUAUCCAGAAAAAGAUGAAGAGGAAAGGUAGGAGCUUGCCACCUGAUGGCCGGCUCAAAGAACUGGGGAUAUUUAAUAGAGAGAAGAUAUGGAAUGGUAAUAAUAUAACCUGCAUUUAUAUAGCACUUUAAGGUUUACAAAAUGUUUCACAUUGUCGUUCAGUUGUGUCCAACUCUUCAUGACUCCAUUUGGGGGUUUUCUUGGCAAAGAUACUGGAAUGGUUUGCCAUUUCCUUCUGCAGCUCAUUUUACAGAUGAGGAAACUGAGUUAAGUGACUUGCCCAGGAUCACACAGCUAGUAAGUGUCUGAGGCUGGAUUUGAACUCGAGUCUUCCUGACUGCAGGCCAGAUGCUUUGUCCACCACAGCGCCACCUGGCUGAAUGUCACAACAACCCUGUGAUUCAAACUCAUGUGUUCCUGACUCCAUGUCCAAAAUUCUUUCCACCUUUGCAAGUACGUGUAGGGCUGGCAUGUGGAAAGGGGUUUGGCCCUACAGAGCAGAACAAUGACCGAUGGGUGUGAAUCCCCAUGGGGCAGAGACGGUGCCAUACACACCAUCCUGCACCCGGCUCUGUGUUCUGCACAGUAAUCACUUAAUAAAUGUUUGGUGAAGUGGGAAGGGAAGCUAAUG
rnacentral:lncRNA from 1 species